rnacentral:rRNA from 1 species
UACGAAGGGUGCAAGCGUUACUCGGAAUUACUGGGCGUAAAGGGUGCGUAGGUGGUUUUUUAAGUCAGAGGUGAAAUCCUGGAGCUCAACUCCAGAACUGCCUUUGAUACUGAGGAUCUUGAGUUCGGGAGAGGUGAGUGGAACUGCGAGUGUAGAGGUGAAAUUCGUAGAUAUUCGCAAGAACACCAGUGGCGAAGGCGGCUCACUGGCCCGAUACUGACGCUGAGGCACGAAAGCGUGGGGAGCAAACAGG